GCCCGUUGGUUCCUUCAGGAUCCCCAGUCAGGACUAUACAGCUGUGUCUGAUCCCGUUGGUUCCUUUUAAGGAUCCCCAGUCAGGACUACACAGCUGUGUGAUCCUGUUGGUUCCUUCAGGAUCCCCAGUCAGGACUAUACAGCUGUCUGAUCCCGUUGGUUCCUUCAGGAUCCCCAGUCAGGACUACACAGCUUUUUAUUUCUGCCGUCUUUUAUAUUAUUAUAUAGCAACGAUUUAAUAAUCAGAAAAACGCUGGACGAAUCUUCAUAGAAAUGUCUUUAAUAUAUGAUUUACUCCUUUUGUUUUUAGAUUUUUUAUUAAAUCAUUUGAGGUUUGUUUUGUUCACCUGUAAGCUUCAAAUUGACUGCACUGUACUCUCAUUACCCUGGCUGACUUGUGAAUCCACAAAUUGCACCCUAUUCCCUAAUGUAGUGCACUACUAUUAACCAGAGGCCUUACUAACCAGUAGUAGUGCACUAUAAAAGGAAUAGCUUAAGGGACCAUUUGGGAGCCUGCUGGUGUGCUGCAUAACUAGAUGAUGUUCUCUCUGUGGUAGUAAUGCUAACGAUGAUAGGCUAGGGAUCAGUGGUAGUAAUGCUAUAAUGCUAAUGAUAGGCUAGGGAUCAGUGGUAGUAAUGCUAUAAUGCUAAUGAUAGGCUAGGGAUCAGUGGUAGUAAUGCUAUAAUGCUAAUGGUGAUAGGCUAGGGAUCAGUGGUAGUAAUGCUAUAAUGCCAAUGGUGAUAGGCUAGGGAUCAGUACUAGUAAUGCUAAUGAUGAUAGGCUAGGGAACAGUGGUAGUAAUGCUAAUGAUUAUAGGCUAGGGAUCAGUGGUAGUAAUGCUAAUGAUGAUAGGCUGGGGAACAGUGGUAGUAAUGCUAAUGAUGAUAGGCUAGGGAACAGUGGUAGUAAUGCUAAUGAUGAUAGGCUAGGGAACAGUGGUAGUAAUGCUAAUGGUGAUAGGCUAGGGAACAGUGGUAGUAAUGCUAAUGGUGAUAGGCUAGGGAACAGUGGUAGUAAUGCUAAUGAUAGGCAAGGGAAAAGUCGUAGUAAUGCUAUAAUGCUAAUGAUGAUAGGCUAGUGUUGCAAAAUUCCUGAAACGUUCCCUACAUUUCCAAGGUUUUUUAUUAAUCAUGUUUCAAGGAAUUUCUGAUAUCAGGAAGGAUUAACUAGGGAAGGCAUCCUCCUACUGAGAUUUAUGAGGAAUUUCAGAGUUCUGAAAAGCUUGUAGCUCAAUAACCAGUAUCUGAGCUGUGAAGCACUUUCUGUUGUGUUGCUAGAUUGACCAGGUUGUUGUCAUGGGGAUGGAUGGUGGCAGAACGUGUUGUUGCCACUACUCGUGAUGCUAGCAUGGUCUAGUCCUGAGUCCUGAGUCCCAGCUCUGUUUGUGCUGUCUUGCCAACUCUAUGUGAUUUAUAGGAGUCGCUAAGACAGCACAAACGGAUGUGGGACCAGGCUAAGCAUGGUUCACCUUGGUGUCAAGGGUCAACUAAUCAAGUCAAGUAAUGGCACAUACAUAACCACUGUCUGGAGAGACCUGCAGAGACCUACAGCUAGACUCCCUAACACAGUGUCUGUUCAGACUGAUUCAUUAGAGCUAGACUCACUAACACAGUGUCUGUUCAGACUAAUGCUUUGAGUACUGAGUAGUGACUUGUUUCAGUGCCUAAUGCCUUGAGUACUGAGUAAUGACUUGUUUCAGUGCCUAAUGCCUUGAGUACUGAGUAGUGACUUGUUUCAGUGCCUAAUGCCUUGAGUACUGAGUAUUGACUUGUUUCAGUGCCUUUAUUGUAGAAUGACUUGUUGGUUGGUCUGUAGAUAGUUUUCAGAUGCCACCUCCCCUUCUCUUGAAGCCCAGCUCACCUAUCUCUGAGUUGGUGGACAGGACAGGUUCCUACCCUUAAAAAUGUACGUGUGAUCAGGGUGGUUGGCAGGUAGCCAAGGAGCGCUACAGUUCACUCCAAGCAACUCGUAUCAAGCAGAUCACACAAUUUACCACGGCCAACAGCAGGCCUGGUCUACAGGGUAAUAGUAGUGUGGGUAGGAGCCACUGUCUGGAGUCAGAUCAGAUUAACUUCAUUAAUAACCCACUGUCUGGAGUCAGACCAGAUUAACAUCAUUAAUAACCCACUGUCUGGAGUCAGACCAGAUUAACAUCAUCAAUAACCCACUGUCUGGAGUUCAUUAAUAACCCACUGUCUGGAGUCAAACCAGAUUAACAUCAUCAAUAACCCACUGUCUGGAGUUCAUUAAUAACCCACUGUCUGGAGUCAGACCAGAUUAACUUCAUUAAUAACCCACUGUCUGGAGUCAAACCAGAUUAACUUAAUUAAUAACCCACUGUCUGGAGUUCAUUAAUAACCCACUGUCUGGAGUCAAACCAGAUUAACAUCAUUAAUAACCCACUGUCUGGAGUCAGACCAGAUUAACUUCAUUAAUAACCCACUGUUUGGAGUUCAUUAAUAACCCACUGUCUGGAGUCAAACCAGAUUAACUUCAUUAAUAACCCACUGUCUGGAGUCAGACCAGAUUAACUUCAUUAAUAACCCACUGUCUGGAGUCAAACCAGAUUAACUUAAUUAAUAACCCACUGUCUGGAGUUCAUGAAUACCCACUGUCUGGAGUCAAACCAGAUUAACAUCAUUAAUAACCCACUGUCUGGAGUCAAACCAGAUUAACAUCAUUAAUAACCCACUGUCUGGAGUCAGACCAGAUUAACAUCAUUAAUAACCCACUGUCUGGAGUCAGACCAGAUUAACUUCAUUAAUAACCCACUGUCUGGAGUCAGACCAGAUUUACUUCAUUAAUAACCCACUGUCUGGAGUUAGACCAGAUUAACAUCAUUAAUAACCCACUGUCUGGAGUUAGACCAGAUUAACAUCAUUAAUAACCCACUGUCUGGAGUCAGACCAGAUUAACAUCAUUCAUAACCCACUGUCUGGAGUCAGACCAGAUUUACUUCAUUAAUAACCCACUGUCUGGAGUUAGACCAGAUUAACAUCAUUAAUAACCCACUGUCUGGAGUCAGACCAGAUUAACAUCAUUCAUAACCCACUGUCUGGAGUCAGACCAGAUUAACAUAAUUCAUAACCCACUGUCUGGAGUCAGACCAGAUUAACAUAAUUCAUAACCCACUGUCUGGAGUUAGACCAGAUUAACAUCAUUCAUAACCCACUGUCUGGAGUUAGACGAGAUUAACAUCAUUCAUAACCCACUGUCUGGAGUUAGACGAGAUUAACAUCAUUCAUAACCCACUGUCUGGAGUUAGACGAGAUUAACAUCAUUAAUAACCCACUGUCUGGAGUCAAACCAGAUUAACAUCAUUAAUAACCCACUGUCUGGAGUUAGACCAGAUUAACAUCAUUCAUAACCCACUGUCUGGAGUUAGACGAGAUUAACAUCAUUCAUAACCCACUGUCUGGAGUCAGACCAGAUUAACUUCAUUAAUAACCCACUGUCUGGAGUUAGACGAGAUUAACAUCAUUAAUAACCCACUGUCUGGAGUCAGACCAGAUUAACAUCAUUCAUAACCCACUGUCUGGAGUCAGACCAGAUUAACAUAAUUCAUAACCCACUGUCUGGAGUCAGACCAGAUUAACAUAAUUCAUAACCCACUGUCUGGAGUUAGACCAGAUUAACAUCAUUCAUAACCCACUGUCUGGAGUCAGACCAGAUUAACAUCAUUCAUAACCCACUGUCUGGAGUCAGACCAGAUUAACAUCAUUCAUAACCCACUGUCUGGAGUUAGACCAGAUUAACAUCAUUCAUAACCCACUGUCUGGAGUCAGACCAGAUUAACAUCAUUCAUAACCCACUGUCUGGAGUUAGACCAGAUUAACAUCAUUCAUAACCCACUGUCUGGAGUCAGACCAGAUUAACAUCAUUCAUAACCCACUGUCUGGAGUCAGACCAGAUUAACAUCAUUCAUAACCCACUGUCUGGAGUCAAACCAGAUUAACAUCAUUCAUAACCCACUGUCUGGAGUUAGACGAGAUUAACAUCAUUCAUAACCCACUGUCUGGAGUCAGACCAGAUUAACAUCAUUCAUAACCCACUGUCUGGAGUCAGACCAGAUUAACAUCAUUCAUAACCCACUGUCUGGAGUCAGACCAGAUUAACUUCCGUGAUAAUGAAUGCUAAAUUAGCAUGCUAUAUUGAUAUGCUAUUAUGGACCACCAUGACUGGUAACAUGAACGACCUGAAUGUUUAUUACCCCUGUCACCACUACCUUUUCUGGGAAUGACUGCAGCCUUGUAUCGUACUGUGAUGACCUGGGAUGUGUUCAUUGGGCACCAAACAGUAGAAAACUGAUUUAAAACAGGGAGGGACUACCUGCACUAGUAGUCCAAUAACAAACACUAAAAUGUAUAUUUUCCUGUUGUAAAACAUUUUUGCUAGAAUUCAGAUGGCACCAUUUGUCACGAUUGUCGUUGGGAGAAGGAGAAGAGGACCAAAGAGCAGCUUGGUAUACUGGAACAAAAACAACAGACCGACAAACGAACAGUUCUGCAAGGUGCAACAAAAACACUAAACAGAAAAUUCAAAACAUAGAAUACCCACCCCAACUCACGCCCUGACCAAACUAAAACAGAGACAUAAAAAAGGAACUAAGGUCAGGGCGUGACACCAUUCUUCCAUAGGGUUUGAAAGAAGUGCACUUUUUUAUUUUUUAUUAGUGCUAGCUUUGGAGUAGGCUAGCUCUGGAGUAGGCUAGCUUUGGAGUAGGCUAGCUUUGGAGUAGGCUAGCUUUGGAGUAGGCUAGCUCUGGAGUAGGCUAGCUCUGGAGUAGGCUAGCUCUGGAGUAGGCUAGCUUUGGAGUAGGCUAGCUUUGGAGUAGGCCAGCUUUGGAGUAGGCUAGCUUUGGAGCAGGCUAGCUUUGGAGCAGGCCAGCUUUGGAGUAGGCCAGCUUUGGAGCAGGCUAGCUUUGGAGCAGGCUAGCUUUGCUCGGUCUAUGUAGUCCCCUUAACUAUUGCUGUUGUGUGGUUUUAAUUAUGUCAAUGAUCUUUCACUUUAUGCCUCGGCACCACUGUUAUUAUGUUUUCAUUCAUGCUGUCUGUGAUAUUUUGUUGUUGUUGUUGUUGUUUCUUAUUUGUUUUGUUUAUAAUUAAACUCUUCUCUCUGUGUCCACUAAUUACAAUGAAUAAAUAAACUUACCUCGGAGUUUAAAGGUCCCAUUCAGUUUGUAUGCAGUAAAGUCAUACCAUAUUU
ensembl:lncRNA